rnacentral:rRNA from 1 species
UCCUACGGGAGGCAGCAGUAGGGAAUAUUGCGCAAUGGAGGAAACUCUGACGCAGCGACGCCGCGUGGGCGAUGAAGGCUUUCGGGUCGUAAAGCCCUGUCGGAAGGGAAGAAAAACGAAAUGGCUMAUAUCCAUUUCGAUUGACGGUACCUUAGAAGGAAGCACCGGCUAACUACGUGCCAGCAGCCGCGGUAAUACGUAGGGUGCUAACGUUGUUCGGAAUCAUUGGGCGUAAAGCGCGUGUAGGUGGUUACACAAGUUGGGUGUGAAAUCCCUGGGCUUAACCGAGGAAGUGCACCCAAAACUAGGUAGCUAGAGGACGGUAGAGGAAGGUGGAAUUCCAAGUGUAGAGGUGAAAUUCGUAGAUAUUUGGAGGAAUACCUGUGGCGAAGGCGGCCUUCUGGGCCGUUCCUGACACUGAGACGCGAAAGCGUGGGGAGCAAACAGGAUUAGAUACCCUGGUAGUCCACGCCGUAAACGAUGAACACUAGGUGUUGUGGGUAUUGACCCCUACAGUGCCGCCGCUAACGCAUUAAGUGUUCCGCCUGGGAAGUACGGCCGCAAGGUUAAAACUCAAAGGAAUUGACGGGCCCGCAAAGCGGUGGAGCAUGUGGUUUAAUUCGAUGCAACGCGAACCUUACCUGGGCUUAACAUCCCCGGACAACCGUGGAGACACGGCUUUGACUUCGGUCACCGGGAGAUAGGUGCUGCAUGGCUGUCGUCAGCUCGUAUCGUGAGAUGUCGGGUUAAGUCCCUUAACGAGCGCAACCCUUGUCCUUAGUUGCCAUCAUUCAGUUGGGUACUCUAGGGAGACCGCCGGUGUUAAACCGGAGGAAGGUGGGGAUGACGUCAAGUCCUCAUGGCCCUUAUGUCCAGGGCUACACACGUGCUACAAUGGCCGGUACAGAUGGUUGCCAACCCGCGAGGGGGAGCUAAUCCAACAAAACCGGUCUCAGUCCGGAUUGGAGUCUGCAAUUCGACUCCAUGAAGCUGGAAUCGCUAGUAAUCGCAGAUCAGAAGGCUGCGGUGAAUACGUUCCCGGGCCUUGUACMCMCCG